CCUACCGCCGCCACCGAAACGUCGCCGCGAACCGUCACCCCGUCCACCGCCUCCAACCGUCACCACCGCGUCAACCGCGCACCCUUGGCCCCGCCUCUUUGCGUGGAGACGUCGAACCGCAACGAUCGUGACCGCCGCGCGGUCGGGCGGAAAAUUAAACGGAAAACCGUUAUUUUCUUUGCUUGGGUCGCCAUGCACCCGACCGCCGACAUCUUUAUCUCAUAUCGAGUUAAUGGGGAGGAGUCGUUGAUAACUGGAGACUCGCCCUUCAAUUCCCUCAAACAUGGAGAUUUUUGAAGUGUUGCUCUUUAUGUUUAAUUCGUGAUGAGGGCUGCAUUUAUUGCCCAUUCCUAAUUACCCAGAGGGCAGUUCAGAGUCAACCACAUUGCUGUGGGUCUGGAGUCACAUGUAGGCCAGAUUGGAAAAGGAUGGCAGAUCGUUUUACAACAAUUGAUUCAUGGUCAUCAUUAAACACUUAAUUGUGGAUAUUUUAUUGAAUUCAAAUUCCACCAUCUGUCGUGACAGGAUUCAAACCCAGGACCCCAGAAUACUGCCCAAGUCCCUGGAUUAACAGUCCAGCGAUGAUACACUAGGCCGUCACCUCUUUUACAACCUCCAUCCUAACAGGGACUGAUGCUCUGUGAUCCCUCCAGUCGCAUACAUGAUCUGCCAACCUGUUGGAACAUUUCAGAAUCUGGGGAAAAUCAGCGACUUUAAACGAAUGCACACCUCCAGACCUUUUACAGCCAUUGGAUGCAAUCCGUCGGUCCCUGGAGACUUCUCGAUCUUCACUUCCACACGAAGACCUUUCUCAGUAACCAGUGAUAAUGGGAACUGCAGAUGCUGGAGAAUUCCAAGAUAAUAAAAUGCAGCGUCAAGUUUGGAAAAUACCGAGUACUUUUUCCACAUGUCCUACAGCUAGAACACAAGCCACAAAUCCAUCCUGGAACACCUUCAUAAAAACUGACUGAGUGCUAUUUAAUGAGAAACUACAGCAGGAGGAAACUGGAGCACGGGGAGAAUGACACUAAGAAGGUCCCAGGACAUCUCCCAGCCUCUACCGAGUUACCUGGUCUCAACUAGAGGGAAGUGUUUGGGAUACAAACAAGACUGCUGUUCUGUGAGCUCUUAACUGGUAUAUGGGUGUGGCUGAGAUUAGAUGUUGACGAGCUGUAUAGAAGUACAGUUACUAAAAAAGGAACACAUGGCAAAAAGCCACAGGAAAAGAACAAAUAAGCAAGCCACAGCUGAAAGCAGUGGAUAAGACACAAUGGCUAUAAACGUUCCGCUUCCAGCACAGGUCAAAAUUAAAUGUGAAAUAAAACUGAACUGAUACAUAGAAUGACAAGGCUAUAAGUUUGUAGCAGAUUUACUUAACAACCCAGAGCACUUGUGUGUGCUAUGCCUUUAUUACUCUUGGAAAGAGACUGUUAUCCACAUUAAACCUGCUUGAAGAAUAGGAAGAAACAGAAUCUUUAAAAAGCCUUGAAGAUUUGACGGUUUAAGUGUUGAGGUUGCACAGAAACCAGCCUGAGCAAUUUUGUCAAGUUCUUCAAAAUAAUUCGAAGCCGUUGAAAACGCCUCCUGAAGUUGGUCACAGUACGACAGGAACAAGCCCCUGGAUGUUUUAAACUAUUGCCAAAGAAAUGUAACCCAUUGGUGCUUUCGAAAGGUUCUUUCUGGUCCUCUUCAGAAAUCUUGACUCUGCAGUACCUCGUUGCCAACUGAUAUCAGGAGCAAGACAGCUAUGUAACCGGUUCUGAAAAUGCUAGGUCCAGGAUGCAUAGCUGCAGCCUUAGUUUGAAAAGGUUGAACUUGGAUGGUAGAUCUAUGGCUUUCCAAUUCAUGAUGAGGGACUUGGUAUCCAUCCUCCUGCUGUUCUUUUCAUUUUAUAUUUAAACUUGUGCUUUCUUCCUGUACUUUCAUCACCAUACCUAAUGUUCUGUUCCAGUUUUGCGGGGCUUAAAACCUGUUUUAGGGUUUGAUUUGUUAGCAGCCCACUUUUCUGAAUUGAGGCACGUUUUCUCUUAGUGCAGUUUGAGGAUGACUCCAAAUGGCAUUUCAAAUUUGAAAUAGUCUUUAGGUAGGAUAGUUUUGAAUUAGCUGUUUGCUUGCACCCAUGUGGUCAACCUGGAAAUACUCGCAGUUUACUUUCUUCUAUUUCCUGCAUUCCGAGAACAGAUGUGUAAGAUCUUCAGAACCCUGGGGCAACCUUGUAAUGAUGUCUUGGAGUUGCACAUGACUGACUAUAAAUGGCACAGUGUACAUGGAGUUACAAUACUGUAGAAGGAGAAAGUUUUGAGAGUUCAUAGUUGUGAACACAUGAAGAAAAUAGGUUAAUCUUUAUCCAUUGCAAUUACAAGUCAGAUCCUGAUAAUUACCAUGCGUAGCAGUGUUGCACACUAAUGUAAAAUAAAUAGUGUUACUUUAAAAUCUAAGCCUAAAGACGGUUCUUGGUUUUACUUUCUCCUCAACCAGUCUGUCCUGAACCCAAACUCAUAAUGUAAGAGUGGGACUGCAGUAGUGAAAAGGAAAGUUGGACUCUCUUAAGUUAUCUUCUCCUUAUCUUAUUCAAAGUUAAUGUGAAUGGCACCAUGUAUGUACAGCGAAGGUACACACCUUUCGCUGUAUUUUCACAUUGAAUACACAGGACAGUAAAUCAUUCAACUCAAUACUUUCACAUCAAGGAAGAUUGCAAUUAUAUUUUGUUUGCUACUG